CCUACGGGCGGCAGCAGUGAGGAAUAUUGGUCAAUGGGCGCGAGCCUGAACCAGCCAAGUCGCGUGAGGGAAGACGGUCCUAUUGAUUGUAAACCUCUUUUGUCGGGGAGCAAAAGACGCCACGCGUGGCGUUCCGAGAGUACCCGAAGAAAAAGCAUCGGCUAACUCCGUGCCAGCAGCCGCGGUAAUACGGAGGAUGCGAGCGUUAUCCGGAUUUAUUGGGUUUAAAGGGUGCGCAGGCGGAAGAUCAAGUCAGCGGUAAAAUUGAGAGGCUCAACCUCUUCGAGCCGUUGAAACUGGUGUUCUUGAGUGAGUGAGAAGUAUGCGGAAUGCGUGGUGUAGCGGUGAAAUGCAUAGAUAUCACGCAGAACUACGAUUGCGAAGGCAGCAUACCGGCGCUCAACUGACGCUCAUGCACGAAAGUGUGGGUAUCGAACAGGAUUAGAUACCCCAGUAGUC
rnacentral:rRNA from 1 species